UACGUAGGGGGCGAGCGUUGUCCGGAUUUAUUGGGCGUAAAGAGCUCGUAGGCGGCUUGUCGCGUCGACCGUGAAAACUUGGGGCUCAACCCCAAGCCUGCGGUCGAUACGGGCAGGCUAGAGUUCGGUAGGGGAGACUGGAAUUCCUGGUGUAGCGGUGAAAUGCGCAGAUAUCAGGAGGAACACCGGUGGCGAAGGCGGGUCUCUGGGCCGAUACUGACGCUGAGGAGCGAAAGCGUGGGGAGCGAACAGG
rnacentral:rRNA from 1 species